UACAGAGGUCUCAAGCGUUGUUCGGAUUCAUUGGGCGUAAAGGGUGCGUAGGUGGCGCGGUAAGUCGGGUGUGAAAUCUCGGAGCUUAACUCCGAAAUUGCAUUCGAUACUGCCGUGCUCGAGGACUGGAGAGGAGACUGGAAUUUACGGUGUAGCGGUGAAAUGCGUAGAUAUCGUAAGGAAGACCAGUGGCGAAGGCGGGUCUCUGGACAGUUCCUGACGCUGAGGCACGAAGGCCAGGGGAGCAAACGGG
rnacentral:rRNA from 1 species